rnacentral:tRNA from 1 species
GCCCGGGUGGCGGAAUCGGUAGACGCAGAGGGCUUAAACCCCUCUGGAGCCUCGGCUCCGUGCGGGUUCGAACCCCGCCCCGGGCA